UGAGGAAUAUUGCGCAAUGGGGGAAACCCUGACGCAGCAACGCCGCGUGGAGGACGAAGGUUUUCGGAUUGUAAACUCCUUAACUGGGGGAAGAGGAAGGACGGUACCCCAGGACGAAGACACGGCUAACUACGUGCCAGCAGCCGCGGUAACACGUAGGUGUCGAGCGUUAUCCGGAAUUACUGGGCGUAAAGGGUGCGCAGGCGGCGGUGCAAGUCUGGCGUGAAAGCUCCUGGCUUAACUGGGAGAGGACGUUGGAAACUGCAUGGCUAGAGUGAAUGAGAGGGGGGCGGAAAUCCCGGUGUAGUGGUGGAAUGCGUAGAGAUCGGGAAGAACACCAGAGGCGAAGGCGGCCCCCUGGCAUUUGACUGACGCUGAGGCACGAAAGCGUGGGUAGCGAACGGGAUUAGAUACCCCCGUAGUCC
rnacentral:rRNA from 1 species